rnacentral:rRNA from 1 species
GAGUUUGAUUCUGGCUCAGGAUGAACGCUGGCGGCGUGCUUAACACAUGCAAGUCGAACGAACGACUAUUAACAGAACCUUUCGGGGCGAAGAUGAUAGAAGUUAGUGGCGGACGGGUGCGUAACGCGCGGGUAAUCUGCCUUUGUCAAAGGAAUAACUAUUCGAAAGAAUAGCUAAAACCGUAUAAAAUAUUAAUAGGGCAUCCUAAUAAUAUCAAAACGAUAGUGGACAAAGAUGAGCCCGCGUCUGAUUAGCUAGUUGGUGAGAUAAAAGCCCACCAAGGCAACGAUCAGUAGCCGACCUGAGAGGGUGAACGGCCACAUUGGAACUGAGACACGGUCCAAACUCCUACGGGAGGCAGCAGUGGGGAAUAUUGCACAAUGGGGGGAACCCUGAUGCAGCAACGCCGCGUGAGUGAAGAAGGCAUUCGUGUCGUAAAACUCUGUAGUAGGGGAAGAAAGAAAUGACA